GAUGAACGCUGGCGGCGUGCCUAACACAUGCAAGUGGAGCGACGAACCCGGACUUGUCCGGGGGCAAAGCCGCGAACGGGUGAGUAACACGUGGAUUAUCUGCCCCAAUGACCGGGACAACCCGAGGAAACUCGGGCUAAUACCGGAUGUGCUCUUCGGAGGAAAGGAAGCUUCGGCCUCCGCAUUGGGAUGAGUCCGCGGCGCAUUAGCUAGUUGGUGGGGUAAUGGCCUACCAAGGCGACGAUGCGUAGCUGGUCUGAGAGGACGAGCAGCCACACUGGAACUGGGACACGGUCCAGACUCCUACGGGAGGCAGCAGUGGGGAAUCUUGCGCAAUGCACGAAAGUGGGACGCAGCAACGCCGCGUGCGGGAAGAAGGUCUUCGGAUCGUAAACCGCUUUCAGUUGGGACGAGGGUCAGCUGGUGAAUAGCCAGUCUGACUGACGGUACCUUCAGAAGAAGCCCCGGCUAACUACGUGCCAGCCGCCGCCGUAAAAC
rnacentral:rRNA from 1 species